AGAGUUUGAUCAUGGCUCAGGAUGAACGCUGGCGGCGUGCCUAACACAUGCCAGUCGAGCGAUCUUCUUCGGAAGAGAGCGGCGGACGGGUGAGUAACGCGUGGGUAACCUGCCUCAUACACAUGGAUAACAUACCGAAAGGUAUGCUAAUACAAGAUGAUAUAAGAGAUUCGCAUGGAUUUCUUAUCAAAGCUCCGGCGGUAUGAGAUGGACCCGCGUCUGAUUAGCUAGUUGGUAAGGUAACGGCUUACCAAGGCGACGAUCAGUAGCCGACCUGAGAGGGUGAUCGGCCACAUUGGAACUGAGACACGGUCCAAACUCCUACGGGAGGCAGCAGUGGGGAAUAUUGCACAAUGGGCGAAAGCCUGAUGCAGCAACGCCGCGUGAGCGAUGAAGGCCUUCGGGUCGUAAAGCUCUGUCCUCAAGGAAGAUAAUGACGGUACUUGAGGAGGAAGCCCCGGCUAACUACGUGCCAGCAGCCGCGGUAAUACGUAGGGGGCUAGCGUUAUCCGGAAUUACUGGGCGUAAAGGGUGCGUAGGUGGUUUCUUAAGUCAGAGGUGAAAGGCUACGGCUCAACCGUAGUAAGCCUUUGAAACUGGGAAACUUGAGUGCAGGAGAGGAGAGUGGAAUUCCUAGUGUAGCGGUGAAAUGCGUAGAUAUUAGGAGGAACACCAGUUGCGAAGGCGGCUCUCUGGACUGUAACUGACACUGAGGCACGAAAGCGUGGGGAGCAAACAGGAUUAGAUACCCUGGUAGUCCACGCCGUAAACGAUGAGUACUAGCUGUCGGAGGUUACCCCCUUCGGUGGCGCAGCUAACGCAUUAAGUACUCCGCCUGGGAAGUACGCUCGCAAGAGUGAAACUCAAAGGAAUUGACGG
rnacentral:rRNA from 1 species